CCCCUGUUUUUUUUAAAUGGCUUAAUCCGCCCUGCCUCUUGUGAUACGCUAUACGCACAAGACUAUUUUAAGGCCAUGAUCUAUUUUGCUGGAGCUCGCCUUCACUAGUUUAGUCGUAGUAUUUUAAAAACAGGUUCUGUUAUUUUAUUUGCAAGACAAAAUAGAAGACAAAUCAAAGACGAUAUAAUAUCAAUGGGUGUACAUCCACUGGCAUUUUUUUUUAAAUGCAUUUAUU
rnacentral:lncRNA from 1 species